rnacentral:rRNA from 1 species
GACGAACGCUGGCGGCGUGCCUAAUACAUGCAAGUAGAACGCUGAAGAGAGGAGCUUACUCUUCUUGGAUGAGUUGCGAACGGGUGAGUAACGCGUAGGUAACCUGCCUUGUAGCGGGGGAUAACUAUUGGAAACGAUAGCUAAUACCGCAUAACAAUGGAUGACACAUGUCAUUUAUUUGAAAGGGGCAAUUGCUCCACUACAAGAUGGACCUGCGUUGUAUUAGCUAGUAGGUGAGGUAAUGGCUCACCUAGGCGACGAUACAUAGCCGACCUGAGAGGGGGAACGGCCACACUGGGACUUGGAAACGGCCCAGACUCCUACGGGAGGCAGCAGUAGGGAAUCUUCGGCAAUGGGGGCAACCCUGACCGAGCAACGCCGCGUGAGUGAAGAAGGUUUUCGGAUCGUAAAGCUCUGUUGUAAGUCAAGAACGGGUGUGAGAGUGGAAAGUUCACACUGUGACGGUAGCUUACCAGAAAGGGACGGCUAACUACGUG